GGGUUUGGACAAGAGCUGUGAUAUCUGCCGCCCAGUGGGUCACCAGGGUUGACGCAGCUGCUCCAGGGGGCCUAGUUGCUUGAUCCCCUCUCUUCACCACCACUCUGUGUAUUCCUCACCUGAAGCAGCAUGCUAAACAAGGAAGUUAACCUAACACUACAGAGAGGGGCCAUCUUCUGUCAAUAGUACAUGAGUAUUCUCCUUCUCGAACCGGCUAACCAUCUCUCAAAAGCCCAACAUGGCAUGGUUGCUUGGUGGAGUGGGGUUACCUUAGAUUCCUUUAUCAACCUGUUAGUUUCCUCAUGGCAACUAAAAUCA
rnacentral:snRNA from 1 species